rnacentral:rRNA from 1 species
GUGGGGAAUCUUGCGCAAUGCGCGAAAGCGUGACGCAGCAACGCCGCGUGGGGGAAGAAGGCCUUCGGGUUGUAAACCCCUUUCAGGAGGGACGAAGCCCGGGCGGUGAAUAGCCGUCCCGGGUGACGGUACCUCCAGAAGAAGCCCCGGCUAACUACGUGCCAGCAGCCGCGGUAAUACGUAGGGGGCAAGCGUUGUCCGGAAUUAUUGGGCGUAAAGCGCGUGUAGGCGGUCCGGUAAGUCGGCUGUGAAAGUCCAGGGCUCAACCCUGGGAUGCCGGUCGAUACUGCCGGACUAGAGUUCGGAAGAGGCGAGUGGAAUUCCCGGUGUAGCGGUGAAAUGCGCAGAUAUCGGGAGGAACACCAAUGGCGAAGGCAGCUCGCUGGGACGUUACUGACGCUGAGACGCGAAAGCGUGGGGAGCAAACAGGAUUAGAAACCCUAGUAGUCC